UCGAAGGUAGCAUAAUCAGUAGUCUUUUAAUUGAAGGCUGGAAUGAAUGGUUGGACGAAAUAUUAACUGUUUCAUAAAAAUUUAUAUUAGAAUUUUAUUUUUUAAUUAAAAAGUUAAAAUUUAUUUAAAAGACGAGAAGACCCUAUAAAUCUUUAUAUUUAAAUUAUUAAAAUUUUGUAGAUUAUUUUUAUUUUUAUAAUUAAUAAUAUUUUAUUGGGGUGAUAUUAAAAUUUAAAUAACUUUUAAUUUUAAAAGUCAUUAAUUUAUGAUUUAUUGAUUUGUUAUUAACAAUUAAAAAAAUAAGUUACUUUAGGGAUAACAGCGUAAUUUUUUUGGAGAGUUCAUAUCGAUAUAAAAGAUUGCGACCUCGAUGUUGGAUUAA
rnacentral:rRNA from 1 species